rnacentral:rRNA from 1 species
UACGUAGGGUCCGAGCGUUGUCCGGAAUUAUUGGGCGUAAAGGGCUCGUAGGCGGUUCGUCACGUCGGGAGUGAAAACUCGGGGCUUAACCCCGAGCCUGCUUCCGAUACGGGCAGACUAGAGGUAGGCAGGGGAGAGCGGAACUCCUGGUGUAGCGGUGGAAUGCGCAGAUAUCAGGAAGAACACCGGUGGCGAAGGCGGCUCUCUGGAACGGUACUGACGCUGAGACGCGAAAGCGUGGGGAGCGAACAGG